GCCUCAUGUAUCACUGUAGGGGGUAGAGCACUGUUUCGGCUAGGGGGUCAUCCCGACUUACCAAACCGAUGCAAACUCCGAAUACCUACAAGUGCCGAGCAUGGGAGACACACGGCGGGUGCUAACGUCCGUCGUGAAAAGGGAAACAACCCAGACCGUCAGCUAAGGUCCCAAAGUCAUGGUUAAGUGGGAAACGAUGUGGGAAGGCUUAGACAGCUAGGAGGUUGGCUUAGAAGCAGCCACCCUUUAAAGAAAGCGUAAUAGCUCACUAGUCGAGUCGGCCUGCGCGGAAGAUGUAACGGGGCUCAAACCAUGCACCGAAGCUACGGGUAUCAUCUUACGAUGAUGCGGUAGAGGAGCGUUCUGUAAGCCUGUGAAGGUGAGUUGAGAAGCUUGCUGGAGGUAUCAGAAGUGCGAAUGCUGACAUGAGUAACGACAAUGCGAGUGAAAAACUCGCACGCCGAAAGACCAAGGUUUCCUGCGCAACGUUAAUCGACGCAGGGUUAGUCGGUCCCUAAGGCGAGGCUGAAAAGCGUAGUCGAUGGAAAACAGGUUAAUAUUCCUGUACUUCCAGUUAUUGCGAUGGAGGGACGGAGAAGGUUAGGCCAGCCUGGCGUUGGUUGUCCAGGUUUAAGGUGGUAGGCUGAAAUCUUAGGCAAAUCCGGGAUUUCAAGGCCGAGAGCUGAUGACGAGUUGCCUUUAGGCGACGAAGUGGUUGAUACCAUGCUUCCAAGAAAAGCUCCUAAGCUUCAGAUAACUGGGAACCGUACCCCAAACCGACACAGGUGGUUAGGUAGAGAAUACCAAGGCGCUUGAGAGAACUCGGGUGAAGGAACUAGGCAAAAUGGCACCGUAACUUCGGGAGAAGGUGCGCCGGCGAGGGUKAAGGACUUGCUCCGUAAGCCCAUGCCGGUCGAAGAUACCAGGCCGCUGCGACUGUUUAUUAAAAACACAGCACUCUGCAAACACGAAAGUGGACGUAUAGGGUGUGACGCCUGCCCGGUGCCGGAAGGUUAAUUGAUGGGGUUAGCGCAAGCGAAGCUCUUGAUCGAAGCCCCGGUAAACGGCGGCCGUAACUAUAACGGUCCUAAGGUAGCGAAAUUCCUUGUCGGGUAAGUUCCGACCUGCACGAAUGGCGUAACGAUGGCGGCGCUGUCUCCACCCGAGACUCAGUGAAAUUGAAAUCGCUGUGAAGAUGCAGUGUAUCCGCGGCUAGACGGAAAGACCCCGUGAACCUUUACUAUAGCUUUGCACUGGACUUUGAAUUUGCUUGUGUAGGAUAGGUGGGAGGCUUUGAAGUGGGGACGCCAGUUCUCAUGGAGCCAUCCUUGAAAUACCACCCUGGCAACUUUGAGGUUCUAACUCAGGUCCGUUAUCCGGAUCGAGGACAGUGUAUGGUGGGUAGUUUGACUGGGGCGGUCUCCUCCCAAAGAGUAACGGAGGAGUACGAAGGUGCGCUCAGACCGGUCGGAAAUCGGUCGUAGAGUAUAAAGGCAAAAGCGCGCUUGACUGCGAGACAAACACGUCGAGCAGGUACGAAAGUAGGUCUUAGUGAUCCGGUGGUUCUGUAUGGAAGGGCCAUCGCUCAACGGAUAAAAGGUACUCCGGGGAUAACAGGCUGAUACCGCCCAAGAGUUCAUAUCGACGGCGGUGUUUGGCACCUCGAUGUCGGCUCAUCACAUCCUGGGGCUGAAGCCGGUCCCAAGGGUAUGGCUGUUCGCCAUUUAAAGUGGUACGCGAGCUGGGUUUAGAACGUCGUGAGACAGUUCGGUCCCUAUCUGCCGUGGACGUUUGAGAUUUGAGAGGGGCUGCUCCUAGUACGAGAGGACCGGAGUGGACGAACCUCUGGUGUUCCGGUUGUCACGCCAGUGGCAUUGCCGGGUAGCUAUGUUCGGAAGAGAUAACCGCUGAAAGCAUCUAAGCGGGAAACUUGCCUCAAGAUGAGAUCUCACUGGGAUCUUGAAUCCCCUAAAGGGCCGUCGAAGACUACGACGUUGAUAGGUUGGGUGUGUAAGCGCUGUGAGGCGUUGAGCUAACCAAUACUAAUUGCCCGUGAGGCUUGACCAUAUAACACCCAAGCA
rnacentral:rRNA from 1 species